rnacentral:rRNA from 1 species
GACGAACGCUGGCGGCGUGCCUAAUACAUGCAAGUAGAACGCUGAAGGAGGAGCUUGCUUCUCCGGAUGAGUUGCGAACGGGUGAGUAACGCGUAGGUAUCCUGCCUGGUAGCGGGGGAUAACUAUUGGAAACGAUAGCUAAUACCGCAUAACAGUAGAUGUUGCAUGACAUUUGCUUAAAAGGUGCAAUUGCAUCACUACCAGAUGGACCUGCGUUGUAUUAGCUAGUUGGUGAGGUAACGGCUCACCAAGGCGACGAUACAUAGCCGACCUGAGAGGGGGAUCGGCCACACUGGGACUGAGACACGGCCCAGACUCCUACGGGAGGCAGCAGUAGGGAAUCUUCGGCAAUGGACGGAAGUCUGACCGAGCAACGCCGCGUGAGUGAAGAAGGUUGUCGGAUCGUAAAGCUCGGUUGUAAGAGAAGAACGAGUGUGAGAGUGGAAAGUUCACACUGUGACGGUAUCUUACCAGAAAGGGACGGCUAACUACGUG